GCAGUACCAGCAAACUCCCUGAGAGGGGACUUGCAUCAGUCCCGGCUGCUUCUGCUUCCCCAGUCAGACCUCCGGUUUCUCCCCCCUACACCACCGGCAAGGCUCUGCAAAAUGCUCUGAGCCAGGUACAUGGACUAGUGCAGGAGGCUCAUGAGCCCAGUCAUCCCUCACUGACCACUGAACAGACAGAUCUACAACCUGGUGAUUGGAGUUGAGUCCAUAGACAUCAAGUGCCUAACCUUGAACCCAAGUGGGCUGGUCCAUAUCCGAUCAUCUUGCUGACUCCAACUGCUGUUAAGGUUGCCGGACAUGCCCACUGGAGUCACCGUUCCCAAGUUAAGAGAGCCCAUCCGGACCACAUUCCUCAAACAUGGACAGUAAAAAGAACAGACAAUCCCCUCAAGGUCAGACUGGU